CUGGAGACAAACAAAGCAAGGAUAGGGGUGAGAGGGCAGUGAGGUGUCACAUGUUAAAGAAGGGGCCAGCAGGGCAGCAUUGGAGCAAAGGCCUGGAGCAGAUGAGGAGGGGUCUCUUAGGCCAGGAGGACAGAGGAUCUGUGCUGAGGAGGGGCCAGUGGAGAGGUGCAGAGGCGGCCACAGUACCUCCUGUGUUGGGGACAGCAGGAGGCCACGUCACUGGUACAGGUGAGCCAAUGAGAGAAGGCAAACACAGGGAGGUGACGAAGAUCCAUUUCAUGGGACUGCACAGGCCACAGUGAGGCGUUACCAGGAAACCACAGAAGAGUUUUAAGUCAGGCACGGUGACGCACAUCUGUAAUCCUAGCUUCUCAGGAAGCUGGAGCAGGAGGAUCGUCCAUGUGCUCUGGAUGCCAGUUCCUGAAAUCUACGUGAAGAUCUGUGGCCGGGGCAGACACUUUUGCCUGGAGACUCAGGACGACCUCAGUGGCCCCCAUAGCAUGUAGCCCUUGCCCCUGAGCCCAGCUCCCACAUCCCCCCCUCGGAGGAUGCAGCCUGAUACCGGCCUUCUGUGGCUUGCUGGGUACUCGUCAUGGACCCGAUAGAGCCUGCAGUCAGGACAGGCGCACAUGGAGAACUGUGCCCACAAACUCUAUGCUGCCAGGGCUCCCCGGAGACCUCGUGUGUCAUGCUGGAGAACUGUCCACAGCAACGCCAGUGACACAGGCUCUGUGCAACCCUGGAGACUCCUGUGGCGUGCAGCGAGUGUGUGUUCCCAAGAGAGUGUCUUUCCCAGCCUGAUCUCUCCACCUGGCCCAAUACUACCUCCAGGAGGAGUCCUUGGUCAGAGCCACCCACAUUGAGCCCCUGCCCCUCUGUGGACUAACUGUCCCCCUUAAGGCCCCACCUGCUUCAAGCUCUUGAGCAACAAUGAUCGAUGGCUCUGACAGCUGUUGGAUUGGUCUGGACAGGCUUCGCUGUGCUGCAGUAACAAGUUCACCUGAACAUGGCUCCACCAAGGGCUGUUGCCCUUGCCUACGAAUUCCACAGUAGUCUCAGGGCAUAGUUCACGUUCACAUCCGCUCUGUGAGGCCACCCCGGCAGCACACGCACUCUGAUUUGCAGUACUUCCCUUCGAGCAUCACCCAUAUUAUUUGUGCUCAUAGCUCUUGGCCAGAACCAGUUCUGGCCAAUGUGCCAGGGCAGGUGCCAAGCUGGACAAUGAGGAAGCAGGUGGAUAUCAUGAGGGCUCCUAGUGCCUCUGCCAGGUGUGCUGGUUCAUUUAAUCCUCCACAUCCCUCGCUGAGGGAAGUGCUGUUACUACAGUGGGCCCCGAUUUACGAAUUCAAUUAAUUCCUGAGGGCUGGUUGCAACUCAUGUUGGUCAAUUGCCUUCAAAGUCUCUCUCCUGUAUAAUUUUAGGCCACACUUUCUUCCAGGCAGAUAUGGGUGUCCUUAGAGAGACAUUGGCCCAGGAUUUCUCAGUUAACCCCGCACAGGAAAGGAUGUUGUAAUGUUCCUUCCAGAACUCUUUAGGGAUUAAGUCUGUAUCUGAGAUCAUCUGGAAGCACAUGUGGCCGGCAUUUGGGUUAAAACUCAACUUUGGUUUUAAGUUAAAACUAAAAUGCCAGUCGUAAUGCAAGUUGUUCGUAUGUCAGGAUGGUUGUAACUCAAGAGUCCACUGUUUUGCAGAUGAGGAAACUGAGGCCCAGAGAGGCCAAGAAACUUGUGCAAGGUCACCCAGAGUCAGCCAGAAACACGACACUGUGGCUCCCUGCUGCCUUUGGGAUAAAACCUGAGCUCUUUAGCUGAGCACUGACUUGCUCCCUUGCCCUUCACCUGUUUCUGUGUUGGGGUUCUGGGGUGUGGGCAACUCCCACAGUCCUCAGGCAGCUUGCUGAUGCUCUUUAGAGGCCCAGAUGUCCAUAUGCCAGUGGGCCCUGGCCUCCGAAGGGUGGAAUGGAGGGGGAGAGGUGGAUGCAGAAGUAUGUCCUACCCAUGAGAGUUGGCACUUUUUGCCAGAUGGGAGUGUGUUCUCAGUGGAGUUCAUGGCCUCGUUUGUAAUCCCAGUCCCAUUACUUGGUAACUGUGUGAUGUCAAGCAAGCCAUUUAAUAUACCUGAGCCUCAGUUUCCUCAUCCAUAAAGGAAGGGGGGUGAUGAAAGAAAGUCCUUGUAGGGUUAUCGUGAAUUACGGUAAGAUGGCAUCUAAAAGGCAAACUUCUGGUAAUUGCUGAAUUAUAAAUAGCUCUAUUCACCAAUAAAAUGAUAAUAAUCGUUCACCAUUUCUGACUAACAUGGUUUUCUUUAGUGAAUUCAAGAAGAAAAUAUUAAGAAUUAUGGGGAUAAUGCCCAGGAGAACAUAUGCAGAGCCUGCUGAUAGUCAGUGAUCAAGUAAUAUUUCAGACCCAUCACCAACACCAAACUACCACUACCAUCAUUACCAACCAUCACCCCAUCACCGCCAUCUUCAUUACUGUCAAUACCAUCGUCACCACCAUCAGCACUUCAUUACCAUCAUGUCUCCAUCAUCACCACCCUAACUACGCUGUCUCCCAGUGAAGCCUCUCCCUACCAUCCCCCUCUACCCUAGGACCUGCCCCUGGCCUUUCAGCCCUCUCUGUUCUUCGGUCAUCGUCUGGUUGGAAAUGCUGAGUAAUAGCCCGGGUUGUCUGGUCGCGUAGGCCCCAUCUGUCUUCGUCCGGAGCUGGCUGUGCCAACGUGACUCAGUACCAACCUGGUCUCUCAGCAUCUCUCUUGGUCUGUGAUAUUAUUGGCUUAGUCCUCAGGCUGCGUUUCGGUUUGUUUUUGUUUCCUGGGGACAAAAUG
ensembl:lncRNA